GGCAGCGUGGCGGAGUGGUCUAACGCGAUAGACUCGAAAUCUAUUCUCUUCGGAGGCAUCGGUUCAAAUCCGAUCGCUGUCG